rnacentral:rRNA from 1 species
UUUCUUACGGGGCGCAGCAGUGGGGGAUAUUGCACAAUGGGGGAAACCCUGAUGCAGCGACGCCGCGUGUGGGAAGACGGUCCUCUGGAUUGUAAACCACUGUCCCCAGGGACGAAGAUGACGGUACCUGGGGAGGAAGCUCCGACUAACUACGUGCCAGCAGCCGCGGUAAUACGUAGGGAGCGAGCGUUGUCCGGAAUUACUGGGCGUAAAGGGAGCGUAGGCGGGGAGGCAAGUUGGGGGUCAAAACUACCGGUCCAACUGG